UACGAAGGGGGCUAGCGUUGCUCGGAAUCACUGGGCGUAAAGGGUGCGUAGGCGGGUCUUUAAGUCAGAGGUGAAAUCCUGGAGCUCAACUCCAGAACUGCCUUUGAUACUGAAGAUCUUGAGUUCGGGAGAGGUGAGUGGAACUGCGAGUGUAGAGGUGAAAUUCGUAGAUAUUCGGAAGAACACCAGUGGCGAAGGCGACACACUGGCCCGUUACUGACGCUGAGGCGCGAAAGCGUGGGGAGCAAACAGG
rnacentral:rRNA from 1 species